rnacentral:rRNA from 1 species
UAAAGUUUAACCUGCCCACUGAUAUAUUAAAUGGCCGCAGUAUAUUAACUGUGCAAAGGUAGCAUAAUCAUUAGUCUUUUAAUUGAAGGCUGGAAUGAAUGGUUGGACGAGAUAUUUACUGUUUCAUAUUUAUUUAUAUUAGAAUUUUAUUUUUUAGUAAAAAAGCUAAAAUAAUAUUAAAAGACGAGAAGACCCUAUAAAUCUUUAUAUUUAAUUAAUUUUUAUAUAUUAGAAAUUAAAUUAUAUUUAUUAAAUUAAAUAUUUUAUUGGGGUGAUAUUAAAAUUUAAUUAACUUUUAAUAUUAAAAACAUUAAUUUAUGAAUUAUUGAUCCAAUAAUAUUGAUUAUUAGAAUAAGUUACUUUAGGGAUAACAGCGUAAUUUUUUUGGAGAGUUCAUAUUGAUAAAAAAUAUUGCGACCUCGAUGUUGGAUUAAGAAAUAAAUUUAGGUGUAGAAGCUUAAAAACUAAGUCUGUUCGACUUUUAGAUUCUUACGUGAUCUGAGUUCAGA